rfam:Gossypium raimondii Chr09_contig_659, whole genome shotgun sequence.
UAUUAAAAAAAUUAUCCAUUUGUACUGUUAAAAUUGACAUAGUUGACAAAAUAAUCAAAUUGUGACAUUUGGCAUGUCAUAUAUUUCUCAUGCUGACGUACUGAGACUAGUUUUUAAUAAUAGAAAUAGAUAAAAUUUUUAAUA